AAAAAGGAUAGGGUGGGAAAGGUUUGGACAAUGGGAAUCCAGAUUUUCCCACAAAUGCCCCUCCACAAUAUGGACACCCCGAGGAGCCGAUGGGAGCAGGGCUUGCGGCCCCCGUGGGUCGCACGAUUGGCUGGAGGGCAAAGCCCCGCCUCUUCAGGGGUGGAGUCAGACACAGAGAGCAGCAGCACAGAGAGCGAGAGGUCUCCAGCCAAACGUUUAGAGUCGCGGUCACAGAGGAUCCUACCGUUGCCCUCCAUGCUGCAACAGCGAAUCACAGAGAUUGACCAGCAGAGGGAGGAGCUAAAGAUAGAGGUGAGACACUGAUGGAUUAAUGAAUGAACAAGUUAAACCCUCAAGGGCCUGAUUGUGUCUCAUAUCAAACCAUUUCUAUGGAGAGUGGUGGCUGUUUAGUAAAUGUAUCUGAUGAAGUCUGGAACUGUUCACAACAAACCAACUCCUUUUUUGUAAUGUCUCCUUCAAAGGCACAUUCUGCAUUCUUCAUUGUGGGACUA
rnacentral:lncRNA from 1 species